AAUAAGCGCAACCAUGAUUUUUCGUGUUCAAUUUUAAUCAUCUGUCUUAUUUUAUUUUUUUUAUAAUUAGUAUUUUUAUUGUUAUUAGAUUAUAAAACAUGAAUAGUAUUUUAUGCGUGACUUAUGUUUUUAGUUUUUUUAAAAAAAAAUUUAAAUAGUACGAACGAUUAAAGUUGAAUACGGAAACUCAUUGCUGCGCUUUUU
rfam:Oryza barthii chromosome 3, whole genome shotgun sequence.